GUGCUCGUUUCCUCAGCAGGUAUACAAAAAAGGUAAUGAUGCAGAGAUUAGCAUGGACCCCACACAGGGAUCUCAUUGCACAUUUGUGAGGCAUUCCAUAUUAAA
ensembl:snRNA U6 U6 spliceosomal RNA